AUUGAACGCUGGCGGCAGGCCUAACACAUGCAAGUCGAGCGGAUGAAGGGAGCUUGCUCCUGGAUUCAGCGGCGGACGGGUGAGUAAUGCCUAGGAAUCUGCCUGGUAGUGGGGGAUAACGUCCGGAAACGGGCGCUAAUACCGCAUACGUCCUGAGGGAGAAAGUGGGGGAUCUUCGGACCUCACGCUAUCAGAUGAGCCUAGGUCGGAUUAGCUAGUUGGUGGGGUAAAGGCCUACCAAGGCGACGAUCCGUAACUGGUCUGAGAGGAUGAUCAGUCACACUGGAACUGAGACACGGUCCAGACUCCUACGGGAGGCAGCAGUGGGGAAUAGUGGACGAAGGGCGAAAGCCUGAUCCAGCCAUGUCGCGUGUGUGAAGAAGGUCUUCGGAUUGUAAAGCACUUUAAGUUGGGAGGAAGGGCAGUAAGUUAAUACCUUGCUGUUUUGACGUUACCAACAGAAUAAGCACCGGCUAACUUCGUG
rnacentral:rRNA from 1 species